GUGAAAAUGAUAAUACAAUUCUUUUCUGGGAUUAAAACACUUUCCAAAAACUAAUAGUUAACUUAUUUGUAGCAGUAAUCAUUUGCCUUAUUUAGGGCUCUGUAGGCAAGGGGGACCUCAUCAGUGCUACUGCAAAAUGGCUAUGUUGAUUGAGUCAAUGGAAAUAACAUUUCACUUGAUACUGGCUUUUAAUUUUUUCCCUUAUCCUUAUUGUUAGGAUUUAAAACCAAGUAACAUUGUAGUCAAGUCUGAUUGCACAUUGAAAAUCCUGGACUUUGGACUGGCCAGGACAGCAGGCACAAGCUUCAUGAUGACUCCAUAUGUGGUGACACGUUAUUACAGAGCCCCUGAGGUCAUCCUGGGGAUGGGCUACAAGGAGAACGGUAGGGAUGCUUCGGGAGAGCAGCAUCAAAACCAUGAAUAAAAUGGGUGCACGUUGUAGAUAGCCAAGGGGAAUGUUCUCUUUUAUGUACAUGCUUUUAUAAAGUAGGGCUGCCAGAUAGCAUAUUCAGGGUUUUUUUUAAAUACUACUGGUAAGAAACACUCAUUAAAAAUGUGAAGGAUGUUAUUGAGAAGUCAGUUUUGCUAGAAGAGCACUAAAUGUUAAUAGUGAAAAAGAAUUGUAAAUGGAGUCUGAUUAAACAGUCAAGUGGAUGCUGAUUAGCACACGUGCCUAGAUAUUGAGAAAAAUUGCUAUUUGGGUUGCAGCUCAGCUGAGCAUGAGUGUGAAAGCAGGAAGGAAUCUACCACAGUUAGCCAUGUGGCUUUUAUGUCGUAUCUCAGACUGAUGGCUGUAGUUCCAGAAAAAGACAAGCAAAAAAGUGACACAAAUCCUUGGAGUAAAAAUCUUCAUAGACAACUUUGAAAUAAUCCAAAUUAUUUAAACUGAAUAAGAAUUUCUGUAAUAAUUUAAGCUGCUCUGUAAGAAAUAUUUAGAAUAGCAAUUGCCUAAUAAAUCCUUAUAUAUUCCAAAAAUCGUAAAAAAGGAAAAUGUCAAAUUUGACACUACUGCUUUCAUAAAGAAAACUUAAUGUUCAUGAACACUUUAAAAUGAAGGCUAUGGAAGGAAUCUUAAAAAUGUAUUACAAUUGAGUGUAGUUGAUUAAAACUAAGGAUUUAUUAAAUAUCUGUUAGAAAGCAUUGCAAUGUAUUAUUUUGAUGAGACUAUAUCUUACAAGUAAUGCACCAUAUUGAAAACAUAUUCAAUAUACUUAGGAAUUAAAAUAGUUUUAAAUUAGGAUUGUAUAUGUAUUCAGUGUAUCUUUAAUAUUUAUUUUUAUAUUCUAUUCUAUUUAGUUUUUAGCAGUCUAUAUUAAUAAGUUUUAUAAAAAUAAUCAGUGUAUUUUUAUGUACAGGUGCUACAGGGUACUUUUGUGAAAAUUCCCUGGCCACUGAAGUUUACAGAAACUUCUUUGUAUACUCUUAGAUUAGAAGACAGAUAAUGUAUGUAUGCAUUUAUACAGAGGAAGUUAAAAAGUCACCUCUUACGAAGGUCAGGUUCACCCUGGUGGGCAGUAUCGGAGUUCUGGUACCUUUUGACUCAGAAGAGAUGAAUCUAGCCCUCCUUGCUAGGCAAUACCACAUCUAAUUUAUUCAGAAAAGAAGACAUUUUUAUACUUUCUUCACGAGUUAUUUUUAAAAAGUCAAAGGAGAAACAAAGUCAAGAAUCAAGAAUGUACAGGAGACUGGGGGGUGGGGUGGUCUGAAUUUGCCUAUUUGGGCUUUCAGAUCUUGGCACUACCAAUAGCUGGUAUUAAAAUCCCUUUCCCUUCCCUCACUAGAAGGAAUUGCAAGUUGCUACCUUAGGUUUUUGACUUCUCUAAGUCCAUGGAGGAGGCCUGCCUAGCACCCUGGUGCUGCCCUCCCACCAAUGGGAGGAAGGUUAUCAUGCAGAAAAACCUGCUUGCUCCCACAUCAGGCAUGCCCUGCUGUCCCCUGCACCUAGCCCCGCCUUCCUUCCCCAUGGAACAAUUCGGCCAAAUGAUUCUGCCCAAAAGUUCCCUUUGUCCAUAAUGAAAAGCAAGUUGGAAAGGGGUAAAGAUUGGUAAGAGAAGGCAAAGCAUGUUUUCCUAACAAGUUUGACAAUUUGGAAAUAAAUAUACGUACAUAACAAUUUUUAACACCUUUAAUACUUUUUUCACUUUCCUUCCAGAUGACUCCUUUAUACGUGUGCUAAUUCAUCAUAUGUCUUUUUUCUUGAAAUAUUUCAAAUGGAAACUAAAACUGAUGUUUAUUUACAAGAAUAAACUUCUGAAGGAAAAGCUAAGUCCCAAAUACCAGGAAUUCCAAUUCUUUUGCCUCUAAACCAUGGUUCCAGUCAUUUCCUGGUUUAUUGGAUUUGGUUGAAUUUAUCUUGUUUUUGCCCCAGCCCCCUGGCCCCCUGAAAAAAAGGUGGUCUCUUGUUGCCCUAUUCUCUGUAACUGAAUAGAAUAGAAAAUGAAAAUAGCCACCUCUACAAGUUAAUAUUGUUUUCUAUGCAUCCGGAAAAUGACACAGAAAACCCUUUGGUGGCUUUUAGCUGUCACCUGCCAUGGAGAUACUUUUGGUUUAGCUAUUGCUUUUCUCAGUCACCAAUGUCACCACUUUGUGGCACUACUGACAGGCAAUGUAAGGCACCCACAAAGUAAUGGGUUUUUAAACAUUAAUUUGAGUUAUCAUACUAGACACUGUUUAUGUAAUAGCAUAGUGCUGGUUUGAAUUCACCUUUUGGCCAACUUUUGGUGGGAGGUGAAAAUUGUACUUUUAAUCAAACUGUUCUUUUUCCUCCUCCUUCAGAAGUCAAUUAUCUUAGUUAACUUUACUUUCCUCCCUUUUCUUCACUACCCUCUCUCUCCUGUUCUAGUGGAUAUAUGGUCUGUGGGAUGCAUUAUGGGAGAAAUGGUUCGCCACAAAAUCCUCUUUCCAGGAAGGGACUAUAUUGACCAGUGGAAUAAGGUAAUUGAACAACUAGGAACACCAUGUCCAGAAUUCAUGAAGAAAUUGCAACCCACAGUAAGAAACUAUGUGGAGAAUCGGCCCAAGUAUGCGGGACUCACCUUCCCCAAACUCUUCCCAGAUUCCCUCUUCCCAGCGGACUCCGAGCACAAUAAACUCAAAGCCAGCCAAGCCAGGGACUUGUUGUCAAAGAUGCUAGUGAUUGACCCAGCAAAAAGAAUAUCAGUGGACGACGCCUUACAGCAUCCCUACAUCAACGUCUGGUAUGACCCAGCCGAAGUGGAGGCGCCUCCACCUCAGAUAUAUGACAAGCAGUUGGAUGAAAGAGAACACACAAUCGAAGAAUGGAAAGAACUUAUCUACAAGGAAGUAAUGAAUUCAGAAGAAAAGACUAAAAAUGGUGUAGUAAAAGGACAGCCUUCUCCUUCAGGUGCAGCAGUGAACAGCAGUGAGAGUCUCCCUCCAUCCUCGUCUGUCAAUGACAUCUCCUCCAUGUCCACCGACCAGACCCUGGCAUCUGACACUGACAGCAGCCUGGAAGCCUCGGCAGGACCCCUGGGUUGUUGCAGGUGACUAGCCGCCUGCCUGCGAAACCCAGCGUUCUUCAGGAGAUGAUGUGAUGGAACACACACACACGCAGACACACACACACACACACAAAUGCAGACAUACAACAUCAAGAAAACAGCAAGGGAGAGAAUCCAAGCCUAAAAUUAAAUAAAUCUUUCAGCCUGCUUCUUCCCCAGGGUUCUGUAUUGCAGCUAAGCUCAAAUGUAUAUUUAACUUCUAGUUGCUCUUGCUUUGGUCUUCUUCCAAUGAUGCUUACUACAGAAAGCAAAUCAGACACAAUUAGAGAAGCCUUUUCCAUAAAGUGUAAUUUUAAUGGCUGCAAAACCGGCAACCUGUAACUGCCCUUUUAAAUGGCAUGACAAGGUGUGCAGUGGCCCCAUCCAGCAUGUGUGUGUCUCUAUCUUGCAUCUACCUGCUCCUUGGCCUAGUCAGAUGGAUGUAGAUACAGAUCCGCAUGUGUCUGUAUUCAUACAGCACUACUUACUUAGAGAUGCUACUGUCAGUGUCCUCAGGGCUCUACCAAGACAUAAUGCACUGGGGUACCACAUGGUCCAUUUCAUGUGAUCUAUUACUCUGACAUAAACCCAUCUGUAAUAUAUUGCCAGUAUAUAAGCUGUUUAGUUUGUUAAUUGAUUAAACUGUAUGUCUUAUAAGAAAACAUGUAAAGGGGGAAUAUAUGGGGGGAGUGAGCUCUCUCAGACCCUUGAAGAUGUAGCUUCCAAAUUUGAAUGGAUUAAAUGGCACCUGUAUACC
rnacentral:sRNA from 1 species